AAUAUCCUUAAAAAAAUGGCAACAGGGGAGAUAAUUAUUUCUAAGAUUUCAAUGAUUUGACAAUUAACUUUAUGAGGUUUAAAAUAGCUUAGCAAUAAUAUUGAAAAUUAUUUUCAACAAUUAGAUUUCAUUUCCACCUGAUUUUAGAAUGAUUCUAAACACAAAUAUCAUAAACAAUAUGAAAAAAAUUGAAAUCCUUGUUUACCAAGAAACAUAGGACUUGGACUUGAAAAUUAGCGUUUCAGUUUUCUGAACUAGAAUUCAAAUGAACAAGGAAAAAUUAACAAAUGGG
rnacentral:misc_RNA from 1 species